GGUUCGAUCCUGGCUCCGUUGAACGCUGGCGGGAUGCUUUACACAUGCAAGUCGAACGGCAGCAGCACGGACUUCGGUCUGGUGGCGAGUGGCGAACGGGUGAGUAAUGUAUCGGAACGUGCCUAGUAGCGGGGGAUAACUACGCGAAAGCGUAGCUAAUACCGCAUACGCCCUUCGGGGAAAGCGGGGGACCUUCGGGCCUCGCACUAUUAGAGCAGCCGAUAUCGGAUUAGCUAGUUGGUGGGGUAACGGCUCACCAAGGCGACGAUCCGUAGCUGGUUUGAGAGGACGACCAGCCACACUGGGACUGAGACACGGCCCAGACUCCUACGAGGAGGCAGCAGUGGGGAAUUUUGGACAAUGGGGAAACCUGAUCCAGCCAUCCCGCGUGUGCGAUGAAGGCCUUCCGGGUUGUAAAGCACUUUUGGCAGAAGAAACGGCACGGGAUAAUACCCCGUGCAACUGACGACACCUGCAGAAUAAGCACCGGCUAACUACGUGCCAGCAGCCGCGGUAAUACGUAGGGUGCAAGCGUUAAUCGGAAUUACUGGGCGUAAAGCGUGCGCAGGCGGUUCGGAAAGAAAGAUGUGAAAUCCCAGAGCUUAACUUUGGAACUGCAUUUUUAACUACCGAGCUAGAGUGUGUCAGAGGGAGGUGGAAUUCCGCGUGUAGCAGUGAAAUGCGUAGAUAUGCGGAGGAACACCGAUGGCGAAACGCCUCCUGGGAUAACACUGACACUCAUGCACGAAAGCGUGGGGAGCAAACAGGAUUAGAUACCCUGGUAGUCCGCGCCCUAAACGAUGUCAACUAGCUGUUGGGGCCUUCGGGCCUUGGUAGCGCAGCUAACGCGUGAGGAUUGACCGCCUGGGGAGUACGGUCGCAGAUUAAAACUCAAGGAAUUGACGGGGACCGCACAAGCGGUGGAUGAUGUGGAUUAAUUCGAUGCAACGCGAAAAACCUUACCUACCCUUGACAUGUCUGGAAUCGAAGAGAUUUGGGAGUGCUCGCAAGAGAACCGGAACACAGGUGCUGCAUGGCUGUCGUCCAGCUCGUGUCGUGAGAUGUUGGGUUAAGUCCCGCAACGAGCGCAACCCUUGUCGUGGAUUGCUACGAAAGGGCACUCUAAUGAGACUGCCGGUGACAAACCGGAGGAAGGUGGGGAUGACGUCAAGUCCUCAUGGCCCUUAUGGGUAGAGCCGCACGUCAUACAAUGGUCGGGACAGAGGGUCGCCAACCCGCGAGGAGCCAAUCGAAACCCGAUCGUAGUCCGGAUCGCAGUCUGCAACUCGACUGCGUGAAGUCGGAAUCGCUAGUAAUCGCGGAUCAGCAUGUCGCGGUGAAUACGUUCCCGGGUCUUGUACACACCGCCCGUCACACCAUGGGAGUGGGUUUUACCAAAGUAGUUAGCCUAACCGUAAGGAGGGGGCGUUACCACGGUAGGAUUCAUAUUCAGGGUGAAGUCGUAACAAGGUAGC
rnacentral:rRNA from 1 species